AUGGGGCGGAAGAAGAUCGUAAUCCGGCGCAUCGAGAACAAGGCUGCACGGGACAUCUGCUUCUCCAAGCGCCGGCAGGGGCUGUUUCGCAAGGCGAACGAACUGGCCGUCAUGUGCGGCGCCCAGGUGGCCGCCGUCGUCUACUCCCGGGCCGGCAAGGCCUAUUCCUUCGGCCACCCCUCC
rnacentral:rRNA from 1 species